UUAUAUGAAGAGUUUGAUCCUGGCUCAGAAUGAACGUUGGCGGCACGCCUAACACAUGCAAGUCGAGCGAAGAACUAGUUUACUAGUUACUGAGCGGCGAACGGGUGAGUAAUACUUGGAUAAUCUGCCACUAGGAUUGGGAUAACCUCAGGAAACUGAGACUAAUACCAAAUAUGACCACAGUCUUUACGAAGACAGUGGUAAAAUGUUUUUUCGCCUAGUGAUGAGUCCAAGUCGCAUCAGGUUGUUGGUAAGGUAAUGGCUUACCAAGCCUAUGACGCGUAGCAGGUCUUAGCGGAUGAUCUGCCACAUGGGGACUGAGAUACGGCCCUGACUCCUACGGGAGGCAGCAGUGAGGAAUAU
rnacentral:rRNA from 1 species